CCGGUGCCCCAGAAAAACAAGGUGAUAAAGGGGAACCUGGUGCUAGAGGAAACCAAGGUGAAAAAGGUGAAACUGGUGCCAAAGGAAAACAAGGUGAAAAAG